rnacentral:rRNA from 1 species
UACGGAGGGAGCUAGCGUUGUUCGGAAUUACUGGGCGUAAAGGGCUCGUAGGCGGCCAACUAAGUCGGACGUGAAAUCCCCAGGCUCAACCUGGGAACUGCGUCCGAUACUGGAUGGCUUGAAUCCGGGAGAGGGAUGCAGAAUUCCAGGUGUAGCGGUGAAAUGCGUAGAUAUCUGGAGGAAUACCGGUGGCGAAGGCGGCAUCCUGGACCGGCAUUGACGCUGAGGAGCGAGAGCCAGGGGAGCAAACGGG